ACGGAAGGCAGCAGUGGGGAAUAUUGCACAAUGGGCGAAAGCCUGAUGCAGCGACGCCGCGUGAGUGAAGAAGUAUUUCGGUAUGUAAAGCUCUAUCAGCAGGGAAGAAAAAUGACGGUACCUGACUAAGAAGCACCGGCUAAAUACGUGCCAGCAGCCGCGGUAAUACGUAUGGUGCAAGCGUUAUCCGGAUUUACUGGGUGUAAAGGGAGCGCAGGCGGUACGGCAAGUCUGAUGUGAAAGCCCGGGGCUCAACCCCGGUACUGCAUUGGAAACUGUCGAACUAGAGUGCCGGAGGGGUAAGCGGAAUUCCUAGUGUAGCGGUGAAAUGCGUAGAUAUUAGGAGGAACACCAGUGGCGAAGGCGGCUUACUGGACGAUAACUGACGCUGAGGCUCGAAAGCGUGGGGAGCAAACAGGAUUAGAUACCCUGGUA
rnacentral:rRNA from 1 species